rnacentral:rRNA from 2 species
UGAGUUUAGGCAAGGCUACCCGCUGAACUUAA